GAGGUGUGGGUAGUCCGCACGAGCGCACCCUAUCUUUAUUUGCCAGCGAGUAAUGUCGGGGACUCUAAAGAAACUGCCUACGCAAGUAGUGAGGAAGGCGGGGACGACGUCAAGUCAUCACGGCCCUUACGUCCUGGGCCACACACGUGCUACAAUGGUUGGUACAGAGGGCAGCUACCGGGUGACCGGAUGCGAAUCUCUAAAGCCAAUCUCAGUUCGGAUUGGAGUCUGCAACUCGACUCUAUGAAGCUGGAAUCGCUAGUAAUCGCGCAUCAGCCAUGGCGCGGUGAAUACGUUCCCGGGCCUUGUACACACCGCCCGUCAAGCCAUGGAAGCUGGGGGUACCUGAAGUCGGUAACCGUAAGGAGCUGCCUAGGGUAAAACUAGUAACUGGGGCUAAGUCGUAACAAGGUAGCCGUACCGGAAGGUGCGGCUGGAACACCUCCUUUUU
rnacentral:rRNA from 1 species